rnacentral:rRNA from 1 species
UGGGGGAUUUUGCACAAUGGGCGCAAGCCUGAUGCAGCGACGCCGCGUGAGGGAUGAAGGCCUUCGGGUUGUAAACCUCUUUCGCUGGGUUGAAAGGCCAUGCUUUGGGUGUGGUUGAUUUGAACUGGUAAAGAAGUACCGGCUAACUACGUGCCAGCAGCCGCGGUAAUACGUAGGGUACUAGCGUUGUCCGGAUUUAUUGGGCGUAAAGGGCUUGUAGGUGGUUUGUCGCGUCUGUCGUGAAAUCCUGUGGCUUAACCAUGGGCUUGCGGUGGGUACGGGCAGGCUUGAGUGCGGUAGGGGAGACUGGAAUUCCUGGUGUAGCGGUGGAAUGCGCAGAUAUCAGGAGGAACACCGGUGGCGAAGGCGGGUCUCUGGGCCGUUACUGACACUGAGGAACGAAAGCGUGGGGAGCGAACAGG